rnacentral:rRNA from 1 species
UACGAAGGGGGCUAGCGUUGUUCGGAAUCACUGGGCGUAAAGCGCACGCAGGCGGGUCGUUAAGUCAGGGGUGAAAUCCCGAGGCUCAACCUCGGAACUGCCUUUGAUACUGGCGAUCUUUGAGUCCGGGAGAGGUGAGUGGAACUCCGAGUGUAGAGGUGAAAUUCGUAGAUAUUCGGAAGAACACCAGUGGCGAAGGCGGCUCACUGGCCCGGUACUGACGCUCAUGUGCGAAAGCGUGGGGAGCGAACAGG